UACGGAGGGUGCAAGCGUUAAUCGGAAUUACUGGGCGUAAAGCGCACGCAGGUGGCUGAGUCAGUCGAUUGUGAAAGCCCUGGGCUUAACUUGGGAAUUGCAGUCGAUACUACUCAGCUAGAGUAUGGGAGAGGGUAGCGGAAUUCCCGGUGUAGCGGUGAAAUGCGUAGAUAUCGGGAGGAACAUCAGUGGCGAAGGCGGCUACCUGGCCCAACACUGACACUCAGGUGCGACAGCGUGGGGAGCAAACAGG
rnacentral:rRNA from 1 species